rnacentral:rRNA from 1 species
GACGAACGCUGGCGGCGUGCUUAACACAUGCAAGUCGAACGGAAAGGCCCUGCUUUUGUGGGGUGCUCGAGUGGCGAACGGGUGAGUAACACGUGAGUAACCUGCCCUUGACUUUGGGAUAACUUCAGGAAACUGGGGCUAAUACCGGAUAGGAGCUCCUGCUGCAUGGUGGGGGUUGGAAAGUUUCGGCGGUUGGGGAUGGACUCGCGGCUUAUCAGCUUGUUGGUGGGGGAGUGGCUUACCAAGGCUUUGACGGGUAGCCGGCCUGAGAGGGUGACCGGCCCCAUUGGGACUGAGAUACGGCCCAGACUCCUACGGGGGGCAGCAGUGGGGAAUAUUGCACAAUGGGCGGAAGCCUGAUGCAGCAACGCCGCGUGCGGGAUGACGGCCUUCGGGUUGUAAACCGCUUUCGCCUGUGACGAAGCGUGAGUGACGGUAAUGGGUAAAGAAGCACCGGCUAACUACGUG